CCUACGGGAGGCAGCAGUGAGGAAUAUUGGUCAAUGGACGGAAGUCUGAACCAGCCAUGCCGCGUGCAGGAAGACGGCGCUAUGAGUUGUAAACUGCUUUAGUACAAGGGUAAAUCUGAAUACGUGUAUUCAGCUGAAAGUACUGUACGAAUAAGGAUCGGCCAACGCCGUGCCAGCAGCCGAGGUAAUACGGAGGAUCCAAGCGGCAGCCGGAUUUAUUUGGUUGAAAGGGUGCGUAGGCGGAUUGAUAAGUGUAGGGUGAAAGGGCCGAGGUUAAAUGCGGAACUGACUCUAAAACUGUUGAUCUAGGGAGUAGAUGCGGUAGGCGGAAUGUAUGGUGUAGCGGUGAAAUGCUUAGAGAUCAUACAGAACACCGAUUGCGAAGGCAGCUUACCAAUCUAUAUCUGACGUUGAUGCACGAAAGCGUGGGGAGCAAACAGGAUUAGAUACCCUUGUAGUC
rnacentral:rRNA from 1 species